rnacentral:rRNA from 1 species
UACAGAGGUCUCAAGCGUUGUUCGGAUUCAUUGGGCGUAAAGGGUGCGUAGGUGGCGCGGUAAGUUGGAUGUGAAAUCCCGGGGCUCAACCCCGGAACUGCAUUCAAUACUGCCUUGCUUGAGUACUGGAGAGGAGAUUGGAAUUUACGGUGUAGCAGUGAAAUGCGUAGAUAUCGUAAGGAAGACCAGUGGCGAAGGCGGAUCUCUGGACAGUUACUGACACUGAGGCACGAAGGCCAGGGGAGCAAACGGG